GGGCUCACUUUGCCAGCACAUACAUUAAAAUUGGAAAACAAAACAUAGAGAAGAUUAGCAUGGUCAAUCUGCAAAGAUGACAUGCAAGUUUUGAAGUGUUUCAUACAUUC
rnacentral:snRNA from 1 species